UACUUUACCAGCAGCAGAACUUCAACAUAUAGAAAUACCAGCAUCUACACCAAAUUAUAUAUUUUUUCUUAGUUUAGGUCUCUGAAUAUAUAUAUACUCUGAAAAACCCUGAAGACUGACAGUAAAGAAGAAGGAUCUAUAGCGAUCCCGUCUUUCACUGAACUCACAUCAUUACACGUAAACCCCUCAAGACUUGUCAUAAGUUAUUGCUCUUAAAUUGUUGUCAGUGUUUAAGGGAAUCACUUCAUAGUUUGAAUUCCUUCACGUCGAGCAGGUAACCGUAUGACCACAGGUGCUCUUCCCUCAAAAACAACACACAUCAGGCUAGCGCCUCUCCAGCUAACAGAAACACCCUGUUUCUCCUCAGACACCUAAACAUUACACCAACAUUCCAUUCUAAAAUUUGUAAGAAAUUACAAGAAUGUUAGAGUUGAAUUUUCUCUCAAUCUAUAAAACACCAGUUUUUGAUUUUUAAAAAACAUUUAAAGGAACAUUCCAUCAUUUUGAAAAUGAUAUAAUCGAUAUAUUUGAAACUUAUUAUAAACUUUUUCCCUCCAUAAAUUCCUAAUUUGCUGCUUAUUAAUAGUUAGGAAGGUAGUUGUUAAGUUAAGAUGUUGGGUAGGAUUAGUGAUGGAGAAUAAGACGUUAAUAUGUGCUUAAUUACUACUAAUCAAUGGCUAAUAUUCUAGUCAGAUGCAUGCUAAUAAGCAACUAGUUAAGUGUUACUAUAUUUUAUUUCAUUUUAUUGAAAAUAUUUAUACACAAGGGUUAGAGUUGGGGCGUCUUUCUAAAUAUUCAUAAAUCUUGCCUGUGUUUAGUAGUUCCUGAAUGUAGUUGAUGUUAAUAGAUUUUUGUCAGUGUAGGAUUUUUUCACAGAAUGCGAACUCAGUUGCACCGUGUUUGGGAUUUUUUUCAAUGACGUCUUUCAUUUUUUGGCACAGGUCACCAGAUGAGACAUUGCCUACUGCAUUCAACGCAUCAGAUAAUAUCAUUUUGUGUCAGUUACCAGCCGCAUUUAACCAGUUCAUGUCUCUUCAAUCGAGGUUCCUGACUGAAGAAUCUGUGAGAGUCCAGCAGCGCACAAUGUUGUAUCUAACACACUAAAUGCAACUCUUUUUUUCCCACAAGUUGUUUGUUUUCUUCCACGAGACUGAAGAAUGAAGCUAAACGGUCAGCAUCAGGUGUGAGCUGGUGUUUUUGUGACACUGCAGCGAACCAUCUCUUGGGUGUAAGAUGCUUCAGCGCUUUCCUCUCUGUUCCGCUGAGGAGGAGUUCUGCAGAAGGUCUUGUAAACAUCUCAGCAUUGCUUUGAUUGGUACUGUUGUGUUUCCAUAACACAUGUCACCGAAACCUUAGGAGUGAGUAAUAGCUGGGAAGUUUCGAGUUUAGAGAGCUCGCAUGGAAUACUGUAAUCUAUCUUUCUAUAUUUUAUUUUCAUUGCCUUGAAUCUUUAAUUAAGCCUGUAUCAGUACCUGGUGUGUGUGUGUGUGUGUGUGUGUGUGUGUGUGUGUCAGAAAGCCGCUCUCGUGACAAACAUGGCCUUUUGACCUCCGAGCCAAACCCAUGAAGGGGAAUCCCGUCUGAAGCUGAAACCUGUCUGGUCGGUUCAUCUCUUCUUUGUUAAUGACCUGUUUUCUAGCAAACUGUCUUUAUGGUUUGCCAUUGUUUUAGCAAACGUACAUAGUUAUGUUUUUCAAGAAUACUGAGGCAGAUCCGGCCCCGUAACAGCUUUACAUGCACACGUGGACCACACCACUUUGGCGUAUUCUCUUAAGCAGAGCGAAUCAGGCUCUGUCAUCACGACAUUACAUCUCCGUUCCCUCCAUCAGAGACGUUAAUACAUAACAUUCAUUAGUUUGAUUCAAGUAAUGCAAAUGUUUCUUUUCUGGCUUCCUUCCUCUCUCUUUCUGUGGAGAUAUCCAUCCUUCUGCUGGUCCCUUGCGUCUCUGAAGAGUGUCUCAGCACAUACCCAGACACUGAUCUGUCUACGCACUCGCUCGCGUGUGAUGUUUGUUUUACUUCAAGUAAUGUUCCUCACGUCUGUGAGUCCUGGAGCGCUUCGAACAUCCUGAUGUUUCUGGAGCUGGUUUGCUCUUCACCUGAAGAGUUCGAGGCUGUUUUGACACGCGGGUUGUUAUUGUAACUGCUGUUGCCAGGCAUCGGGUGCGUCUCCACGGCGACGCUGGCAGAGGCGCGGGGUCAUAAGGUCGCGGAGGAUGCGGCUCAUUGUGGUUAGUGGAGGCUGCCAGCAGGGCGGGACGGUCACGGCACGCUAUACAAGCUCAGACAGUCCUCACAACACUUCUUCACUGCAGUCCGUCUGGAAUUCACUUUUAUGUCGUUUUCCACUCUCUCGUCGCACAGAUGUUUAGAAGAUGUUUUUGGUCAAACCUGCUGCACCGAACCAUCAUGCAAUGAUCUCUGAGUAAUUAAAAAUGACAUUAUGAUUCUGUCGUGUCAUCGCUGGCUCACACUCGUCGUUCCCAAACCACAUGAUUUCCGCAAAAACACAACAGCUCAUUUAUUUAAUCGUACGAGCUCUGUUCUCUUCUCUAUGAAGAGCUGUGUUGGGGGAAGCGCAUUAUAAGCAUACAGAUAGAGUUAAGUAUAUAGAUAGAUAAAUAUAUAUCCUCUGUAGCUGUACCUUUGAGUUCCACCGAAGAAAGUCUCACAGGUUAGAAGUAAUGAUUUCCAUUUUUAGCUAAACUCCUCCUUUAAGUAAAUGUAUUAUUUGCGCCUGUUAUUGUUGUUAUUAUUAUUAUUGUGACUCAUGCAAAUGAGACCAAACUCCUCCAUGCUGCUUCGGUCCUUCCCGCUCAUUGUUCUCUAAUCCAUUACUUACUCAAAUAAAAGGAGGAAUCCAG